UAUAAUUUAUUUUUUUAUUACAAAUAUAAUAUUAAGAGUUUUUCAUAAGUAAGCGACUAUUAAAAAUAUAUCUUACAAAUACGGGCUGUAUUAGGUAAACCUUUUUUGACAAGUUUUAUUUGCAAAAACGUCAAAUGCCAAAACGCUACGUGUAAAAUUUUUAAGUAGAGACGAAACAUCUCAGCACUCCAUGGAUUCACUGUGCGGAUGCCGGGUCCAUCGCGUUGCAGGGAGAGGAGCUUCAACAGUGCCUGGGACUUACCACCCAAGUGUAGGUUUAAAGGGGCCCUAUUUAACGCGCGUUAAACGCUCACCUCCACUGUCCAAGUUCCUCUUUCUACAUAACGAAAUUUAAAACGAACCUGCUAGGGCUGCCUUUGUCGCACGUUCCAAGAAUGAACUGAUGUUAGUUCUUGACAGGCCCAAGUCUUUUAGCAGGUUGUAGAGAGAUUUGGCUGUUAUACCACUCUCUCCUUUUACAACGAACCUAUUCUUAGUGCGUUCGUUAGUGAGCUCGUAAUACUUGUUGACCUUGAUGGCAUGGGCUUUGAGUAUGUUGGUUUCCCCACGAACCGUAAGCUCUAUUACAUUAUCCCAAAAUUAUUGCGAUCCCUGAAUAACGCUGACGAAUCAGCCGAUAGCCCGAGCCACAACUUCAACAUCUUCAUGGCGCUUGCAUCUAAGUUUAACAAAAGGUUUUAAUUAAAAUCAUAGAAGAGGAAAGGCCAAUUCAAGCGUGAUAUUAGAUAAUUAUCGUAGAUCCAAGUUUCUUUGAAGUUGCUAAUCGGUUGGUUAUCGACCUUGUUAAGAUCGUUCAAAAAGCUAUCUACUAUUCCUUCUAAAGAUGGAGUACGACCCAUAUCAUUAUAUAUAAUUUUUAAUAAAGGGAAUAAAACGUACAAAACUAUAAAUAAGGAGUUUUUAUUAUUAUUCAAUAUUAUGUAUAUAAUAAUCUAUAUUAUGUUACAUUAAAAGACACUUACAGGUAAUGAUAGCUAGUUUGCGGUAAUGAGGAAAUCUUUGAGAAUUUAUUAUGAUUUUUUUGGAAAAAAAACAAACAUUAAAACAGCACGUAUCACCAUGAUGUGAAGCGAAACUAACUUCUGAUGAAGAGAGACCGGAAGGUGA